rnacentral:pre_miRNA from 1 species
GUAGUAUUCCCUCCGUCCCAAAAUUCUUGUCUUACAUUUGUUUAGAUACGGAUGUAUCUAACACUAAAAUGUGACUAGGUACAUCGGUAUUUAGACAAAUUUAAGACAAGAAUUUUGGGACGGAGGGAGUACAAA